UACGGAGGGUGCAAGCGUUGUUCGGAAUUACUGGGCGUAAAGCGCGCGUAGGCGGCUAUUUAAGUCAGAUGUGAAAGUCCACGGCUCAACCGUGGAAGUGCAUUUGAAACUGGAUGGCUUGAGUACUGGAGGGGAUGGUGGAAUUCCCGGUGUAGAGGUGAAAUUCGUAGAUAUCGGGAGGAAUACCGGUGGCGAAGGCGACCAUCUGGCCAGAUACUGACGCUGAGGUGCGAAAGCGUGGGGAGCAAACAGG
rnacentral:rRNA from 1 species